AUUGAACGCCGGCGGCAUGCUUUACACAUGCAAGUCGAACGGUAACAGGCCGCAAGGUGCUGACGAGUGGCGAACGGGUGAGUAAUGCAUCGGAACGUGCCCAGUCGUGGGGGAUAACUGCUCGAAAGAGCAGCUAAUACCGCAUACGAUCUAUGGAUGAAAGCGGGGGACCGUAAGGCCUCGCGCGAUUGGAGCGGCCGAUGUCAGAUUAGGUAGUUGGUGGGGUAAAGGCUCACCAAGCCAACGGUCUGUAGCUGGUCUGAGAGGACGACCAGCCACACUGGGACUGAGACACGGCCCAGACUCCUACGGGAGGCAGCAGUGGGGAAUUUUGGCCAAUGGGGGCAACCCUGAUCCAGCAAUGCCGCGUGCAGGAAGAAGGCCUUCGGGUUGUAAACUGCUUUUGUACGGAACGAAACGGUCUGGGUUAAUACCCUGGGCUAAUGACGGUACCGUAAGAAUAAGCACCGGCUAACUACGUGCCAGCCGCCGCCGUAAAAC
rnacentral:rRNA from 1 species